UUGUGGCAAAAUGGCCUGAAACCCAGAUAAGUUGUAUCACUGAGCAUCCAGGUUUUCAGUCAAUUUGCCUCGAUUUCUGGGUGCUGGAGACGGCCAAGUACGCGUACAGGCAGCAGCAAAGCACAGAUAAUCACACAGGAAACGACUAAGCUAAAUAUUUUCUGUUUCAUCUGUUUUGUUACAUUUUGAGAUCGAUUUACUUGAGUUGUUUCUGCCAUUGAUUUAAUAAUACAGUACUAGAGCUAGUUGUUUUUCGCUUCUUUCCUGGCAGGAAAUUUCGCUAAAUUGCCUACAGAUAGCUUGUUCGUUGGUGUUGGGGAUAUCUCGGCAAACACUUUAGGGUCGCUGUGCUAUCUUGUGCGGGUUUCUCAAAGGAAGAACCAAGCGGGGCUGGCUUGGAUUUUCUUAUAGAACAUAAGGGUUGAUUAUGGGAUCCUAUAUAGAAUUCUUUGUAUCGAACCGACAAAAUUCCAGAUCACGUUAUUACACACUGAUAUCAACGAAUUCUCUUUCUUUGAUACGUGUUUCGAAUUCAGGCAAAGGUUCAGACAUGUCAGUGUCUUUUACGGGCUCAGCGCUGGCUCCCGAACAACUGGCUUCCCCAUGAUAUUUCAUUAGAUGAGAAAAAAGAUGUUUUUAGAGAACCAAUAAAGCUAUUGUUGUUUAAUUAACGAAA